GAUGAAGAACGUAGCGAAAUGCGAUAAGUAAUGUGAAUUGCAGAAUUCAGUGAAUCAUCGAAUCUUUGAACGCACAUUGCGCCCGUCAGUAUUCUGGCGGGCAUGCCUGUUCGAGCGUCAUUACGCCCCUCAAGUCCCCUAUGGACUUGGUGUUGGGGAUCGGCGAGGCUGGUUUUCCAGCACAGCCGUCCCUUAAAUUAAUUGGCGGUCUCGCCGUGGCCCUCCUCUGCGCAGUAGUAAAACACUCGCAACAGGAGCCCGGCGCGGUCCACUGCCGUAAAACCCCCCAACUUUUUAUAGUUGACCUCGAAUCAGGUAGGACUACCCGCUGAACUUAAGCAUAUCAAUAAGCGGAGGA
rnacentral:misc_RNA from 1 species